GAUGAUUGGAGGUGUUCUUGUAGAGAGAACUAUCAAGGAAGUCCUGCCUGCUGUUCAACGCAAUAAGGAGGGAAUUGAGGAAGUAAUAACUCGACUGAAUGAAGCUCUGGAGAAAAAGAAAAAGGAAAUAUCUGACUUUGAAACCAAGUAUGAUUGAGGAAGUAAUAGCUCGACUGAAUGAAGCUCUGGAGAAAAAGAAAAAGGAAAUAUCUGACUUUGAAACCAAGUAUAAAAUUAGAAUGAGAAAGCCUGAUGCGGAAGUAAAGGAGGAGAGUGGUCGAAAGGAAGGUUCCGCACAAGGAGUCCUUGUUGGUCCUGCUGGUUCAAAUGAGUAGACCAGUCUGUUUGCAAAAUCCAUUUUUGAGAUACUUUGCUGAAUAUGGUCAAGGAACUAUAACAUUUUAGCAUAGCUAUUCCGGUUAUUAGCGUGUGAUUUUUGAUGAGAAAGUUUAUAUGAUCAGAUCAGUGGUCUGAAACCUUGCUUCAUGGCCCUACCGGGUUUUUCACUAGACGAUGGUGAACUUUGGCAAUCUUGAUUUUCCCUCCUUGAACAUUAGCCAAGUGGUUCUACAUGUUGAGGCAUGUGGCAUUUUCUGCUUCCGCUAUGGAUUGUAGUUUAUUAGAUGUUUGAAUAGUGUUGUAGAUGGUUGAAUUCGGUUGGUUUUCCAGCCUGCUAGAAAUUUUUGUUAAUCAUUCCUAUCCACUAUUUUCUAAUAAAUUCGAACAUUAUACUCCUCAC
rnacentral:lncRNA from 1 species